UGUCGUGAGAUGUUGGGUUAAGUCCCGCAACGAGCGCAACCCUUGUCUCUAGUUACUAACAGUUCGGCUGAGCACUCUAGAGAGACUGCCGGUGAUAAACCGGAGGAAGGUGGGGAUGACGUCAAGUCAUCAUGGCCCUUAUGGGCAGGGCUACACACGUGCUACAAUGGACGGUACAGAGGGUCGCCAACCCGCGAGGGGGAGCUAAUCUCACAAAGCCGUUCGUAGUCCGGAUUGCAGUCUGCAACUCGACUGCAUGAAGUCGGAAUCGCUAGUAAUCGCAGAUCAGCAUUGCUGCGGUGAAUACGUUCCCGG
rnacentral:rRNA from 1 species